GACGAACGCUGGCGGCGUGCUUAACACAUGCAAGUCGAACGAUGAAGCCCAGCUUGCUGGGUGGAUUAGUGGCGAACGGGUGAGUAACACGUGAGCAACGUGCCCGAGACUCUGGAAUAACUACCGGAAACGGUGGCUAAUACUGGAUAUGUGCUAGGGUGGCAUCUCCUCUGGUUGGAAAGAUUUCUCGGUUUCGGAUCGGCUCACGGCCUAUCAGCUUGCUGGUGGAGUAAUGGCCUAUCAAGGCGACGCCGGGUAGCCGGCCUGAGAGGGUGACCGGGCACACUGGGACUGAGACACGGCCCAGACGCCUACGGGAGGCAGCAGGCGGGAAUAUUGCACAAUGGGCGCAAGCCUGAUGCAGCAACGCCGCGUGAGGGAUGACGGCCUUCGGGUUGUAAACCUCUUUUAGUAGGGAAGAAGCGCAAGUGACGGUACCUGCAGAAAAAGCACCGGCUAACUACGUG
rnacentral:rRNA from 1 species